rfam:Felis catus isolate Cinnamon breed Abyssinian chromosome F1, whole genome shotgun sequence.
GUCUGGCUGGCUCAGACAGAAAAGCAUGUGACUCUUGAUCAUAGGGUUGUGAGUUCAAGCCCCACGCUGGUUG